rnacentral:rRNA from 1 species
AGAGAAUAGAUACCCGGGUAGUCCACGCCGUAAACGAUGGGUGCUAGACGUUGGCGAGCUUGCUCGUCAGUGUCGCAGCUAAACGCGUUAAGCGACCCCGCCUGGGGAGUAACGGCCGACAAGGUUAGAAACUCAAAGGGAAUUGACGGGGGCCCGCACAAGCGGUGGAGCAUGUGGUUCAAUUCGACGCAAACGCGCAGAACCUUACCAGCCCUUCGACAUGUGACGUCGCCGGCUCCAGAGACGGAGCCUUCGGUUCGGCCGGAGUCAGCACAGGUGCUGCAUGGCUGUCGUCAGCUCGUGUCGUGAGAUGUUGGGUUUAAGUCCCGCAACGAGCGCAACCCGUCAUCUCCAGUUGCCAUCAGGU